rnacentral:rRNA from 1 species
UACGUAGGGUGCAAGCGUUAAUCGGAAUUACUGGGCGUAAAGCGUGCGCAGGCGGCUAUGCAAGACAGAUGUGAAAUCCCCGGGCUCAACCUGGGACUGCAUUUGUGACUGCAUGGCUAGAGUACGGUAGAGGGGGAUGGAAUUCCGCGUGUAGCAGGUGAAAUGCGUAGAUAUGCGGAGGAACACCGGUGGCGAAGGCGGGAUCUCUGGGCCAAUUACUG